GACGAACGCUGGCGGCGUGCCUAAUACAUGCAAGUAGGACGCAGUUGCGAACGGGUGAGUAACGCGUCGGUCACUACCUAUUAGAGGGGGAUAACUAUUGGAAACGAUAGCUAAUACCGCAUACUAGUAGGUGGACCUGCGUUGUAUUAGCUAGUAGGUAGGGUAAUGGCCUGACUAGGCAACGAAAGAUAGCCGACCUGAGGUGGUGAGCGUGCAAACUGGGAAUGAGACACGGCCCAGGAGCCGACGGGAGGCAUGAGUAGGGUAACUUGGUCAAUGGGGGGAACCCUGAACGAGCAACGCCGCGGGAGUGAAGAAGGUUGUCGGAUCUUAAAGCUCUGUUGUGAAGGAAGCGGUACUUAACCAGAAAGGGACGGCUAACUCCGUGCCAGCAGCCGCGGUAAUAC
rnacentral:rRNA from 1 species